rnacentral:rRNA from 1 species
AUUGAACGCUGGCGGCAGGCCUAACACAUGCACGUCGAACGAGUGGCGGACGGGUGAGUAAUGUCUGGGAAACUGCCUGAUGGACGGGGAUAACUACUGGAAACGGUAGCUCAUACCGCAUACCAUCAGAUGUUCCCAGAUGUUAGUAGCUCGUAGGUGGGGUAACGGCUCACCUCGGCGACGAUCCCUAGCUGGUCUGAUAGGAUGACCAGCCACACUGGAACUGAGAAAGGGUCCAGACGCCUACGGGAGGCAGCAGUGGGGAAUAUUGGACAAUGGGCGAAAGCCUGAUCCAGCCAUGCCGCGUGUGUGAAGAAUGUCUUCGGAUUGUAAAGCACUUUAAGUUGGGAGGCGUUACCAACAGAAUAAGCACCGGCUAACUUCGUGCCAGCAGCCGCGGUAAUAC